rnacentral:lncRNA from 1 species
GGUGAAAAUCAGGCUUUUCAAAUAAAUAAAUAGCCCUUCCUGAUGUUAAGCAGUCAUUCAUCCUGGCAAGGUAGAGGUUUUUACAUUUAAGAUGAAAGAUGAAAAGCUUGAACUGUUAGCUAGAAGCUUUCCCUUUCCUUCGCAGCACCGUCCCAGGUAAUGGUGUAUUUGGGUUAUGACAUUAUGUGUUUUGUCUGGCUUGCUGAAAUAAAAUUACUUUAGAGCAUUGAAACUGCACAAUAAAUUUUCCCCACUAUUAGCAGCACUCAUUUUUCCCUUUUUUCCUUUGGACCUAGAGCCACAAAAAUAACCAACAACAAAUAGAUGCCCUGCCUAAGAAGAUUUAUGUAUUCCUGAGUAGUAACCAAUUUAAUGGAGAUUCACAGAGAGGGUUUCUUU